AGUGUCUGACAUCAACUGCAGGCUCCGUGGGUACCCUGAGUGCAAUUUGAAGUCCGUGUGACCCCUGCCCUGACCACCUCCUGGGGAGGCCAUGUUUCCUGUGGGUGGCGGUGCGUGGCAGGUUGUCCCCGGUUACAGGCGGGAGGAGAGGCGUCAGAGUGUGCGGCACAGACCCAGGUACUUUUCUCAUACAGGGUGAUACAUCCUCCUAGUCCAGGCACGUGAUAUCUAUUUGCCAGCCCAUUGGGAAAGAGCAGUGGCUAUCUGGGAGACGUCAUGAACACCUCUUCCUCUCCCUGCGUCUCUCUGCGGUGGUCAGUGUGAACAGCCUUAGAUUCUUCUGGGUGAUUCACAGGCCCGUUGAUGACAGGUAUUUUCCAAGCCUGGGCCUCUACAGCCACAGCUGCCCCUCCCAGUGUUUCCCGCGCUGAGUGUGUGAAGAACCGCUGGACGUGUGGGUGAUCGGGGCUUGCGAGCACCCGGCCACCCCCCAGCCGCCCCCACGCGCCCCGAUAAGGGAGCUGACCCCUCUGUUGUCACAUUCUCCCAGAGAUUAGCCACAGUAGUUGGGGUAGAUUGGACCGAGCUGCCAGGGAACAGAGAACCAGAGAGAAGGGGCAGAGGUCAAGCAUGUAUGGUAGUAAUGUUCUUCAGCUCCUAUCUCUGAUAAUAAGGAUACGCCGCUUUAAAAAAAAUGAUAUACCCAAAUCUAACUGCCUGUAGCUCAGGCCCUGAAGCAAGGAUAUGCAUAUUCUUGGUACCAUUUGAAAGGAAACACUUUGAGGUUUGUGGAAAUGUGAAAGGAAUGUAGGAGAAUAUAACACAAUAGAUCUGGUAGAAGACAAUACAAAGAGAAAACCAACCUUUCUUUUGUAUUUUUUUUGUACCAUCUUUAAAAUGCAAGAGAAAGGCCAUAAUGUAUUAUUCCAGCCCAGGUACAAUUUAGGUUUUGGCCACUAGAUGGCAGCAGUGUAUGUGCAAAGUUUUAGACUGCUCCAAUGAACCAUUGCAUUUCUGUUCAAAAAUGUUGUAUCAGACUGCCCAAAUGUGCCUAAUUUGUUUAUUAACAACUUUUCAUGUUCAAAAUUGUGCACUCUCCUCAAACAAUAGCAUGGUAUUCUUUCACUCUAAUAGCUACUGUAAAUUGGACAGUGCAGUUAGAUUAACAAGAAUUUAAGCUUUCUGACAAUAUCAGAUAUGUCUAUGUCCUGGGAAAUGUUCUUGUUACUUACAACCUCAUGCUAAUUGCAUUAGCCUACGUUAGCUCAACCGUCCCGUGGACAGAACACUGAUCCCAUAGAAGAUAAGGUGUAGAGCUGUAGGGUCUUCCCAAAGUGAUGGGGGACCGUGAAAAACUCAUCUUGAGUUAGAAUAGAGUUCAUCUCAAGUCUGGCCUGAAAUAGAUGGCCAUUCCCAUGAUGCAGCUAGACUUCUAGAUUUUUUGCUGUCAUAUGGAAACUGUUAUUGCUUCUUAUGAUAUUUAUCAUAUUCUUGUUUUAUGUUUCAUAAAACAUUUGUAAAAGACAACUGAAAGUAUUCAGGUGUGUUUGCAGUCAAUACAAAGUUUUAUGUUUUUGGUUUAGAAUUUUCAGACCUCUUUGAGCGUUGGGCCAGUAACUGAAAGGUUGCUGGUUAGAAUACCCAAGCCGACAAGGUGAAAAAUCUGUUGAUGUGCCCUUGAGCAAGGCACUUAACCCUAAUUUGCUCCAGGGUGCCGUACUACUAUGGCUGAACCUGUAAAACAUCAUUUUUCACUGCACCUAUCCGGUGAAUUUGACAAUAAAACUUUUUUAUUUUUGACACAUCAAUGCCCAUCCUUAUACAUUUACAUUUAAGUCAUUUAGCAGACGCUCUUAUCCAGAGCGACUUACAAAUUGGUGCGUUCACCUUAAGACAUCCAGUGGAACAGCCACUUUACAAUAGUGCAUCUAAAUCUU